rnacentral:rRNA from 1 species
GGGCGUAAAGCGCGCGCAGGCGGUUCUUUAAGUCUGGUGUUUAAACCUGGGGCUCAACUUCAGGUCGCACUGGAAACUGGGGAACUUGAGUGCAGAAGAGGAGAGUGGAAUUCCACGUGUAGCGGUGAAAUGCGUAGAUAUGUGGAGGAACACCAGUGGCGAAGGCGACUCUCUGGGCUGUAACUGACGCUGAGGCGCGAAAGCGUGGGGAGCAAAC